AAAGUCGUAACAAGGUUUCCGUAGGUGAACCUGCGGAAGGAUCAUUACCCUUCUAUCAGGGGGUUGGACGUAGUUUGUAAGGCUUCGGCCUUGCUCUCUGCCCCGCCCUUUCUGUAUAUACCCAUGUCUUUUGCGCACUAUUUGUUUCCUCGGUAGGCUUGCCUGCCGAUAGGACAUCAUUAAACCUUUUGUAAUUGCAGUCAGCGUCAGAAAAACAUAAUAAUUACAACUUUCAACAACGGAUCUCUUGGUUCUG
rnacentral:misc_RNA from 1 species